CCAAUAGCGUAUAUUAAAGUUGUUGCAGUUAAAAAGCUCGUAGUUGAAUUUCGGGGUCAGUAGGUCGGUCGUGCCACAGGUAUGCACUGGUCUCACUGAUUCCUCCUUCCUGAUGAACCGUAAUGCCAUUAAUUUGGUGUUGCGGGGAGACUGGACUGUUACUUUGAAAAAAUUAGAGUGUUUAAAGCAGGCUAACGCUUGAAUACAUUAGCAUGGAAUAACGGAAUAGGACGUUCGAUCUUAUUUUGUUGGUUUCUAAGAUUGACGUAAUGAUUAAUAGGGAUAGUUGGGGGCAUUUGUAUUCAAUUGUCAGAGGUGAAAUUCUUGGAUUUAUUGAAGACUAACUACUGCGAAAGCAUUUGCCAAGGAUGUUCUCAUUAAUCAAGAACGAAAGUUAGGGGAUCGAAGACGAUCAGAUACCGUCGUAGUCUUAACCAUAACCUAUGCCGACUAGGGAUCGGAUGAUGUUAAUUUUUUAAUGACUCAUUCGGCGCCUUACG
rnacentral:rRNA from 1 species